CGGAGGAUCCAAGCGUUGUCCGGAUUUACUGGGUUUAAAGGGUGCGUAGGCGGACUUUUAAGUCAGUGGUGAAAGCCUGUAGCUUAACUAUAGAAUUGCCAUUGAAACUGAAGUCUCGAGUGUGGUUGAGGUAACUGGAAUAUAUCAUGUAGCGGUGAAAUGCUUAGAUAUGAUAUAGAACACCAAUUGCGAAGGCAGGUUACUGAGCCAUUACUGACGCUGAGGCACGAAAGCAUGGGGAUCAAACAGGAUUAGAUACCCCGGUAGUCCACGCCGUAAACGUUGCAUACUCGAUCUUAGCGAUACACAGUUAGGAUCCAAGCGAAAGCGUUAAGUAUGCCACCUGGGAAGUACGUCCGCAAGAAUG
rnacentral:rRNA from 1 species